UAGGGAAUCUUCGGCAAUGGACGAAAGUCUGACCGAGCAACGCCGCGUGAGUGAAGAAGGUUUUCGGAUCGUAAAACUCUGUUGUGAGAGAAGAACAAGGACGUUAGUAACUGAACGUCCCCUGACGGUAUCUAACCAGAAAGCCACGGCUAACUACGUGCCAGCAGCCGCGGUAAUACGUAGGUGGCAAGCGUUGUCCGGAUUUAUUGGGCGUAAAGCGAGCGCAGGCGGUUUCUUAAGUCUGAUGUGAAAGCCCCCGGCUCAACCGGGGAGGGUCAUUGGAAACUGGGAGACUUGAGUGCAGAAGAGGAGAGUGGAAUUCCAUGUGUAGCGGUGAAAUGCGUAGAUAUAUGGGGGAACACCAGUGGCGAAGGCGGCUCUCUGGUCUGUAACUGACGCUGAGGCUCGAAAGCGUGGGGAGCAAACAGG
rnacentral:rRNA from 1 species